AAUCAACGCUGGCGGCGUGCCUAACACAUGCAAGUCGAGCGCGAAAGGGGAGCAAUCCCCAAGUAGAGCGGCGAACGGGUGAGUAACGCGUGGGUAAUCUGCCUCCGAGUGGGGAACAACACCGGGAAACUGGUGCUAAUACCGCAUGACAUCGUUGGACCUUCGGAUCUGACGAUCAAAGCCGGGGACCGCAAGGCCUGGCGCUUGGAGAGGAGCCCGCGUCCGAUUAGCAGUUGGUGGGGUAAUGGCCCACCAAGGCUACGAUCGGUAGCCGGCCUGAGAGGGCGGACGGCCACACUGGGACUGAGACACGGCCCAGACUCCUACGGGAGGCAGCAGUGGGGAAUUUUUCGCAAUGGGCGAAAGCCUGACGAAGCAACGCCGCGUGGAGGAUGAAGGCCUCGGUCGUAAC
rnacentral:rRNA from 1 species